ensembl:misc_RNA Metazoa_SRP Metazoan signal recognition particle RNA
GCCGGGCGUGGUGGCGUGCGCCUGUAGUCCCAGCUACUUGGGAGGCUGAGGCAGGAGGAUCGCUUGAACCUGGGAGGCUGAGGUUGUAGUGAACCGAGAUGGCGCAACUGCACUCCAGCCUGGGUGACAGAGCGAGACUUGGUCUCAA